GGUCCUUUAGCUCAGUCGGUUAGAGCGUGGUGCUAAUAACGCCAAGGUCGCGAUCGACCCUCGUAGGGACCA